GAUAGCUGGUUCUCCCCGAAAUAGCUUUAGGGCUAGCGUCGGAUAUGUGUAGUGGAGGUAGAGCACUGAAUGGGCUAGGGGGCAUAGCGCUUACCGAACCUUAUCAAACUCCGAAUGCCACAUACAUUAAGUCCGGCAGUCAGACUACGAAUGAUAAGAUCCGUGGUCAAAAGGGAAACAGCCCAGAUCGUCAGCUAAGGUCCCAAAGUGUAAGUUAAGUGGAAAAGGAUGUGGGAUUUCUAAGACAACUAGGAUGUUGGCUUAGAAGCAGCCACUCAUUAAAAGAGUGCGUAAUAGCUCACUAGUCGAGAGAUCCUGCGCCGAAAAUGUCCGGGGCUCAAACUUACCACCGAAGCUACGGGCUUGCGUAAGCAAGCGGUAGGGGAGCGUCGUAAUCGGGCUGAAGUCGUACCGUAAGGAGCGGUGGACUGAUUACGAGUGAGAAUGUUGGCAUUAGUAGCGAGAUGUAGGUGAGAAUCCUACAGGCCGAAUAUCUAAGGUUUCCUCAGGAAGGCUCGUCCGCUGAGGGUUAGUCGGGACCUAAGCCGAGGCCGAAAGGCGUAGGCGAUGGACAAUCGGUUGAUAUUCCGAUACCACUACCAUCGUUAUUAUCGAGGGUGUGACGGAGAAGGAUAGUGUGUGCUAGCGAUUGGAAAUGCUAGUCUAAGCGUUUAGGGAGUUACGGUAGGCAAAUCCGCUGUAACAAUUCUGAGGCGUGAUGGGGAAGGCCAUAUAGGCCGAAGUACAUGAUUCCAUGCUUCCAAGAAAAGCAUCUAGAGAGAGAAGUAGUGCCCGUACCGCAAACCGACACAGGUAGGUGAGGAGAGAAUCCUAAGGCCGGCGGAAGAAUUGCAGUUAAGGAACUAGGCAAAUUGACCCCGUAAGUUCGCGAGAAGGGGUGCCUGCGAGAGCAGGCCGCAGAGAAUAGGCCCAAGCAACUGUUUAGCAAAAACACAGGUCUCUGCUAAAGCGUAAGCUGAUGUAUAGGGGCUGACGCCUGCCCGGUGCUGGAAGGUUAAGGGGAACACUUAGCGCAAGCGAAGGUAUGAACUUAAGCCCCAGUAAACGGCGGCCGUAACUAUAACGGUCCUAAGGUAGCGAAAUUCCUUGUCAGGUAAGUUCUGACCCGCACGAAUGGCGUAAUGACUUGGGCACUGUCUCAACUGCAAAUCCGGCGAAGUUGUAGUGCGAGUGAAGAUGCUCGCUACCCGCGAUUGGACGGAAAGACCCCGUAGAGCUUUACUGCAGCUUAGCAUUGAAUUCCGGUAUUGUCUGUACAGGAUAGGUGGGAGACUGGGAAACUAGGGCGUCAGCCUUAGUGGAGUCAACCUUGGGAUACCACCCUGACAGUACUGGGGUUCUAACAGGACGCCAUGAAUCUGGUGACUGGACAUUGUUAGGUGGGCAGUUUGACUGGGGCGGUCGCCUCCUAAAAAGUAACGGAGGCGCCCAAAGGUUCCCUCAGAACGGUCGGAAAUCGUUCGUAGAGUGCAAAGGCAGAAGGGAGCCUGACUGCGAGACCUACAAGUCGAGCAGGGACGAAAGUCGGG
rnacentral:rRNA from 1 species